GAAUGAUCUAAUUUAUUAAUUACCAGAUACAGAUUCCUCAUGUCAAAAAGGAUCUUCACAGUUUGUCAUGAUCUAUGUAUUUGUGUGUUCAUGUGGAACGCUUCUAUUUGGUUCAGCAGCAUGCCUUAUUCCCAAAUGCAAGAGAGGUAUUGUACAAUUAUAAUUUAAAUGAACUUAAAUUACAAUAACAUUUUAUUUACAAAAUAUGGUUUGCAUACCUCUUUAAAAUGUAUGAUACAUGAUACUUGACCUUCAUUUCCGUCCCCCUGAUAAGGCCUUUAUUUAAAUUUAACACUUUCAAAUAUUCAACUCUGUACUGCAUCGUUAAAUGGCAUAUUUUUGUAUUGGCAAACUGCAAUAAUGAUUUUAUGUAUCAUAUAUUUCCGCAUUAUAAAACACCGUCGUGAUGUCGAAAUAAAGGUAAAGGCUAAAAGAGAGGCGAAAUAUUCCAAAGAGAUAAUCAAAUUCAUAAGAAAAAGACAUACCUACAACGCAAUAAAAAAGAAAAUCCCGAAAACCAAGAAAUUCAAUCAGAAAUAGAUUAGUAUUUUCAGCCAAUUAUUAUAAUGAACGUAAAUUAGCAAUCAAAAAUUCAAGUAACAUUAAAGAUGAUUUUCUUCAAAUCUACAAAUAACUUUAAAUUUUUGUUUGUUUCAGUAAAGAAAUGGUGUACCCUAUCCGAUGAAAAGCCAACGGUUUUAGAGGGGCAAACAUUGAGUACACAGUAAAACGCGGAAAGGAUAGGUUUUGUCAUGAUGUGUCAGCUAUUCUGUUGAAUCCAAAAGCGUUGACAUUAAUAUUUGACAAAGUAAACAAAAUUUAGCCUACCGUGAUCACUGUUACUCUGUUUCUUGGAAAAUUUUAAGUGAACCGAAACCGAAAGUAGUUAUUUCCUCCCUUAUUUUAUUGGC
rnacentral:lncRNA from 1 species